ACUUAUGCACUUUUUCACGAACAAGUACGUCAAAAACGAUCAAACUUUACUCAAACUCAUCUGAUCCCUCUCUCUUUCUCUCUCUCUCUCUCUUUCUAAAGCUAGCUUUUUCUCUCCCUCUCGAGUCUUGACAUUUUUUUUUUGGUUGAGGAUGAGAGAGAGAGAGAGAGAGAGAGAGAGAGAGGGGGCCGAUCAAAGAACCACCAUCAGCAACCUUCUUUCGGGUACCGGAGUCUUUGUCUCGCCGCCGUCUUGCUGCCGGGAACUUUUGCUGCAGCUGCUUCAAGUUAAGGCCCUUAAGGUGUCUCACCUUAGGCAUAGGGGGGAUACAACACCUAACUUAAGGGGAGUGCAUUUCAAUGGUGAUCAGACUAAAGAUUGAUGAACUCAAAUGCUGUUCUGUUUUGGUUAAAUUUUGGAUUUGAGUUUUUCUUUUUUUCCUCUCGUUAAUGGACACCAACUGAAGGAUGAAGAAUGAAGCUGCAAUGUAUAAGAGAAUCCCUACUUUGGUGAUUAUUGGUGGUUUCUUAUAUCAAUAGUGGGAUUGUGAUAGCCUUUUGUACGGGGUCCAAGUGUUAACAUUGAAAGUUUCUUUAUAUGCAGUGACUAUUUAUGUA